GAUGAAGAACGUAGUGAAAUGCGAUAAGUAAUGUGAAUUGCAGAAUUCAGUGAAUCAUCGAAUCUUUGAACGCACCUUGCGCUCUUUGGUAUUCCGAAGAGCAUGCCUGUUUGAGUGUCAUGAAAAUAUCAACCUUGACUUGGGUUUUGAGCUCUAGUCUCGGCUUGGAAUUGGGUGCUUGCCGCUUUUACGAGCGGCUCACCUUAAAUGUAUUAGCUGGAUCUGUCUUUGAGACUUGGUUUGACUUGGCGUAAUAAGUAUUUCGCUAAGGACAUUCUUCGGAGUGGCCUCGUUUCUAGGACGCUUGUCCGCUUUCCAAUACAAGUUCCACCUCGUGGACAUGACUUUUUAUUAUCUGGCCUCAAAUCAGGUAGGACUACCCGCUGAACUUAAGCAUAUCAAUAAGCGGAGGA
rnacentral:misc_RNA from 1 species